rnacentral:misc_RNA from 1 species
GAAAUGCGAUAAGUAAUGUGAAUUGCAGAAUUCAGUGAAUCAUCGAACCUUUGAACGCACAUUGCGCCCGCCAGUAUUCUGGCGGGCAUGCCUGUCCGAGCGUCAUUUCAACCAUCAAGCCCCCGGGCUUGUGUUGGGGACCUGCGGCUGCCCGCAGGCCCUGAAAACCAGUGGCGGGCUCGCUGUCACACCGAGCGUAGUAGCAAUCACCUCGCUCAGGGCGUGCUGCGGGUUCCGGCCGUUAAACAGCCUUACAAAACCCAAGGUUGACCUCGGAUCAGGUAGGAAGACCCGCUGAACUUAAGC